UCUUAGAUAUGAGCAAAGAAAGCAGUUUCUUGAGAUAGAAUCUAUUCCUGGUGAAGAUGCUGUGAA
rnacentral:pre_miRNA from 1 species